rfam:Fomitiporia mediterranea MF3/22 unplaced genomic scaffold FOMMEscaffold_13, whole genome shotgun sequence.
UGCCCCAUGGCUCAGUUGGCUAGAGCGUGUGACUGUUAUUUGUGACAACUAUGACAAUCACAAGGUCGAGAGUUCGAGCCUCUCUGGGGCAG